rnacentral:lncRNA from 1 species
ACUGUACCUUGAGCAGCACCUGCUGGCAGCUUCCAGGGAUCACGCCGGAACGCGGCCGCUGCUCGAGCCCAGCUCGCAGGAUGCCUGGAGCCAGGGCCAAGCCGGUCUAAGCGGCAGCCUCUAUUUUUACCCUGAGCACCAGCAAGGGCAACUUCUUUUAAGAGCAGCUCUUGAUUUUUUCCCCCCUUUUGGCAGCUAAAGAAUUCAGGGAGGGGAAAAAAAUCACUGUUCAGUGAGUGCAGCUGGGAAUCUCUGAACCCAGCCCUCAGUGCCAGGGAGUGAAACCACAGCAAAUGUCAGGGAGCGGGACCUGCGGAGGGGCCGGCUGGCUCCCCGCGGACAGAGGCGAGCCGGGAGCGCUCGCGCACCAGCCAACUGCCCCCUUCUGAGUGCGGAGCGCGGUCCUCCAGCGACUGCACUAGCAAAGUGGCCCGCUGCCACCGCGUUAUUCACCUAGUGGAGGCGGCCUGAUUUACUGGCGACUUCACAAACCCAACUCCACGCUGGAGCAUUUGCAUGGCUCUGUUCUCGCCUCGAGGAGCAGCCACUAGCGAACCCGGUGGAGCAGCUUGCUGCGAGAAGGAGCCGGGAGGGAAACUGUGAGCCUUGGAAAGAUGGGCAAAUGCUCUGUGACAAGCCACCAGGGUAGACUGGUACUGAAAAGACCCUACUACACACAGGGGCUCUGUCCCUGGCUGGAAAGUUACAAGUCAGCCUACCUCUCUGUGAUCUGGUUUCCACACCUACUACUCUUUAUCCCAUGAGGAGCUUCUGGAAACUAAAAUAGCAGCUGCCCAGGUAGAAGAGUGUUGACCAAAGGACACAUCACCAGCACAGACUGUUAAUCAUGUGACUAGAGAAAACUCUCAUGGUGGCAUUCAAAUUUCCAUAUCCUUCUUCUAUGGAAAUUUCUGAGAGACCCAGAAAAGAAGCGUAACGACGAGGGAAAGUGAUUCCUGCAGACCUGAACAUUCCAGACUUACCAGGUGAUCCAGCUGUCUGUCAGCGGGAAGAGGCUGAGGCGCCCCCUUCUGGUGCAUCUGAAUAGUAAGAAACCCUGUGUAGAAAGAAACCCUGUAGCAAUUGGGCACCUUCUCCGUGAUCUGUCUGCUUCCAAUACCAAAAAUUGUUGCUUUUUAAAUGACAUCCAUCCUAAGCUUAAAAAAGACGCAUAUUAUUUGUAUAAAAUGUUGAAGACGCAGAACAAAAAAUGUAAAUCACAUGUAAUCAUCCCUUCCAGAAAUAAUCGUUAUUAAAAUUUCUGUGUAUGUGUAAAAAAAAAAAUUGCAAUCCUACUGUAAUAUAAUCCUGUAUACUGAUAUUUUUCACCUAUCACUGUAUGUUGAGCAUUUUCAAUAGUCAAAUUAUUUCUUGAAAAUAUUAAUGACUGGGGAGUAACCUUUCAAAUAGGUGUGUCUUUAUUUUUAAACCAGUCCACAAUUAUUGUAUAUUGAAGUCAUUUCCCAAAUUUUGUAAGUAUAAGUAUUGCAUCCAUCCUUAUAUGUAUUUAAAUGCAUCUCUUAUUAUUUCCUUGAGAUAAGUUCCUAGAAGUGGAAUCACUGGAUUUAAAAAUGUGGACAUAUUUAUGCCAGACGCGGUGGGUCAUGCCUGUAAUCCCAGCACUUUGGGAGACUGAAGCAGGUGGAUCACUUGAGGUCAGGAGUUCAAGACCAGCCUGGCCAACAUAGUGAAACCCCAUCUCUACUAAAAUUACAAAAAUUAGCCGGGUGUGGUAGUGCACGCCUGUAAUCCCAGCUACUCAGGAGGCUGAGGCAUAAGAAUCACUUGAACUCAGGAGGCGGAGGUUGCAGUGAGCCAAGAUGGCACCACUGCGCUCCAGUCUGGGCGACAGAGUAAGACUUCAUCUCAAAAAUAAAUAAAUAAAAUUAAAAUUAAAUAAGAUAAAUAAAAAAUAAAAAUGUGGACAUAUUUAAAUCUUCAUAUAUAUUACCAAAUGCCCUCCUGAAAGUUUUUACCUGUUACAUUCCAACCAAUAGUGUAAGGGCAUGACUCUUUCCCUGUGUUUUGGGAUGGAUGUUAUCAAAGUUCUCUCCCACCCAGGCCAAGUAUGGUAUAUGCUUUGAUUUAAUUUGAAUUUUUAAAUUAUUAUUUAAAAUGGACAUUUUGUUGUCCAUUUGAACAACUUUCUUUUGAGUCACUGUUCAUGUUCUUUGCCCAUUGUUUCUCUUUUAUUAGUAAGAACCCUAUUGUCAUUUUUAUAUUUUAAAUAAAAUUUCAUUGUAUAUACAUUUAUAUUAUCUAUAGUAAAGUAUAUUUUAUUAUUAAUGAGAACUUUUUAUAUUAAAGAUCCU